UAACGUUUUUGAUUAAUUUAUAAUCAUUUUCUUGGAUAUAGAUAUAUGCUUUUGAAAGGAUCAGAAAAAAAUUAAUAUACUGGACAUUAAUGAUAUUUACUGUAACUCAUGAUUAUUAUUUCUAUUCCAAGUACAAUACAUAUCUGUUUGCUCUGGACAAGGCACUUGCAAUUCUGUUCAGACAUAAUGUUCAAGGGUAGUUCAUGAAAAUUUCAGCUUCAUUGCUACUAUAAGUAAUUUACUUCAUUAAAAAAGAAGACUCAUUCUGUCUGACAGUGGACACCUGACCUAACCUUUAUUUUUAUGGUUCAUUAAAUGUAGUUCUUGAUUUCAUAUUUUCUCUAAUACAUUUUAUGUUCUGAUCAAAAAGCAGACAACACAAUACCACGUGUUCCACUCAUUUUUAAAUGUUCCGAACUUCCCCAUCUUUUGAACUUUUUCUACUUAAAGCAAUCUAUUGACUUUUAUUUGAUCCUUUAAAAACACUGUUAAUUAAAUUUUAUGCCAAAGUAACCUGUGAUCUAUGACUGUGAUAUAGUUGAUUUCAGUUGUUGAAUUAUUAAUGAUAGUUAAAUUUAAUGUUUUUGUUCAAGUUUAUUCAUGACAAUAUUGUUUUGUAACCUGCCAUUUUCCAUAUCUAAGACAGCUCAUUCAAUGUUGUUUGAACUUAAGUGUCGUUAAAGAUUCUAAAUUCAAACAAUAAGCAAAACUUUGCUUCUAAUAAGCAUUUUUUAAAUAUUUUUCACAGGAGUUAUCUUCACAUUACAUCAGUUGAAAUGGCAGGACAGGAGCAUAUUGCUCAUCUAGGCAUAACUGUGAUAUUGUAAUAUAGAGAAUUGUUCAAGUUUUUUCCAUCUUUUUGUUAAUAAUUCAGUGUUUGUUGGUAUUUAAUGUAUUAUUUACAUGUUGUUACCAGUUAUAUGUCUGAAAUAUUCAUUAAAGAUGAUAAUGAUUGAAAGCCUUUUUAACAAUAAGAUUUGCAUUAUUGAAAGACCUAUGCUUUUAUCUGUGUAUGUAGAAAUGAAAAACAUGGGAGAUAACUCUAUAAACUUUUUUGGGGGGAUAAUUAUGUUUUUAAAUUCUGUGUGAUACAAACGAUCAAAUUGUACAAAUGUUCAUCUUGGAAACUUGCAGGGACCUGUUUUGGAUGUCAGAUUAGAAUGGUGCAGAUACAUUUGUGUAAUAGAAAAUUAUAGGACUGUAACAAGUUGCUUUGAAACCAUCUGUCAAUUCUUGAAAAUAGCUUUUGGUGAUUGCUGAAUGAGAAAUACAGGCUUAUUAAGAGCCUAUAUUAUAAGCAUUUUGAGUUUGAUAACAGAGAAAAAAUAUGAAGAAAGCAAAUUACCAAGAUUUUUUUUAUAUAUAUAAAUAACAAGACUUUCAAAGCAUUUAUAAUUAUAAAAUUGGUGCUCGAUGUUGUCAUUUGUUUUGUUGUUUGAAGAGACUUAAAUU
rnacentral:lncRNA from 1 species